AUCAUGCUAUGCAGUAUUGCUUAAUAAAGUGAAAGUUCGUUAAAUGUUUAAUGUGUGAUAGGUACUGUUUAUGUGUACUUCCUCAUUGGACUCAUUGGAUUUUCCAAUGAAAUAGUAUUACAUCUUUUUUUUUUUUAAAUAGAGUCUCACUCCUUUACCCAGGCUGGAGUACAGUGACAUGAUCUCAGCUCACUGCAACCUCUGCCUCCUGUGUUCAAGAGAUUCUCCUGCCUCAUCCUCUCGAGCAGCAAUAUAAAAUUACAUGCCACCACAGCCAGCGGAGGCGGCUUUAGGAGGGGGUCCAUGUUUUGCCGGCAAAGACUGCUCCUGUGCCAUGACUGCUCCAUCAGGAAGCCUCCUCCUUUCUUAUGUGCUGCUCCCAAUCCUUCUCCUGAGGACCUGA
rnacentral:lncRNA from 13 species